AUGGAAUUUUGGACAAUGGGCGCAAGCCUGAUCCAGCAAUGCCGCGUGCAUGAGGAAGACCUUCGGGUUGUAAACUGCUGUUGUGCGGAACGAAAAGCCUCUCCCCAAUACAGGGGGGUGAUUUCGGUACCGUAAGAAUAAGCACCGGCUAACUACGUGCCAGCAGCCGCGGUAAUACGUAGGGUGCAAGCGUUAAUCGGAAUUACUGGGCGUAAAGCGUGCGCAGGCGGUUUUGUAAGACAGUGGUGAAAUCCCCGGGCUCAACCUGGGAACUGCCAUUGUGACUGCAAGGCUGGAGUGCGGCAGAGGGGGAUGGAAUUCCGCGUGUAGCAGUGAAAUGCGUAGAUAUGCGGAGGAACACCGAUGGCGAAGGCAAUCCCCUGGGCCUGCACUGACGCUCAUGCACGAAAGCGUGGGGAGCAAACA
rnacentral:rRNA from 1 species